rnacentral:tRNA from 1 species
GGUUGUGGCUCAGUGGUAGCAUGCUUGCCUAGCAUGCAUGAGGCACUGGGUUCGAUUCUCAGGACCA